AUUGUCCCUGUCUAAAAGAAGAUGUGGCUGCUAUGUCACAUGUGUGUCAGUAGGUGGCAGAAAAGAGAGAGGCUGUGUCUACGCUCAGUGCUGACCUGUGGACCACUUAAUGAUUAGUAGUAUGAGUAU